rnacentral:rRNA from 1 species
GACGAACGCUGGCGGCGUGCCUAAUACAUGCAAGUCGAACGCUUUUUCUUUCACCGGAGCUUGCUCCACCGAAAGAAAAAGAGUGGCGAACGGGUGAGUAACACGUGGGUAACCUGCCCAUCAGAAGGGGAUAACACUUGGAAACAGGUGCUAAUACCGUAUAACACUAUUUUCCGCAUGGAAGAAAGUUGAAAGGCGCUUUUGCGUCACUGAUGGAUGGACCCGCGGUGCAUUAGCUAGUUGGUGAGGUAACGGCUGACCAAGGCAACGAUGCAUAGCCGACCUGAGAGGGUGAUCGGCCACACUGGGACUGAGCCAAGGCCCAGACUCCUACGGGAGGUAGCAGUAGGGAAUCUUCGGCAAUGGACGAAAGUCUGACCGAGCAACGCCGCGUGAGUGAAGAAGGUUUUCGGAUCGUAAAACUCUGUUGUUAGAGAAGAACAAGGAUGAGAGUAAAACGUUCAUCCCUUGACGGUAUCUAACCAGAAAGCCACGGCUAACUACGUGCCAGCCGCCGCAGUAA